UACGUAGGGUGCAAGCGUUGUCCGGAAUCAUUGGGCGUAAAGCGCGUGUAGGCGGCAUAUAAGGCUGUUGUGAAAGUCGGAGGCUCAACCUUCGAAAGCCGAUGGAUACUGUAUGACUUGAGUACGGAAGAGGAGAGUGGAAUUCCUGGUGUAGCGGUGAAAUGCGCAGAUAUCAGGAGGAACACCAACGGCGAAGGCAGCUCUCUGGGACGUAACUGACGCUGAGGAGCGAAAGCGUGGGGAGCGAACAGG
rnacentral:rRNA from 1 species